rnacentral:rRNA from 1 species
GAUGAACGCUGGCGGCGUGCUUAACACAUGCAAGUCGAACGGUAAGGCCCUGCUUUUCUGGGGUGCUCGAGUGGCGAACGGGUGAGUAACACGUGAGUAACCUGCCCUUGACUUUGGGAUAACUUCCGGAAACUGGGGAUAAUAACGGAUAGGAGCUCCUGCUGCCAGGUGGGGGUUGUAAAGUUUCGGCGGUUGGGGAUGGACUCGCGGCUUAUCAGCUUGUUGGUGGGGUAGUGGCUUACCAAGGCUUUGACGGGUAGCCGGCCUGAGAGGGUGACCGGCCACAUUGGGACUGAGAUACGGCCCAGACUCCUACGGGAGGCAGCAGAGGGGAAGAUUGCACAAUGGGCGGAAGCCUGAUGCAGCAACGCCGCGUGCGGGAUGACGGCCUUCGGGUUGUAAACCGCUUUCGCCUGUGACGAAGCGUGAGUGACGGUAAUGGGUAAAGAAGCACCGGCUAACUACGUG